UUACGGCCAUAUCACGUUGAAACACCGGUUCUCGUACGAUCACCGAAGUUAAGCAACGUCGACUCUGGUCAGUACCUAGAUGGGUGACCUUUUGGGAAUACCAG
rnacentral:rRNA from 1 species